GAGAAGCAGAAGGGAAGGUCAGAACGAUAAGUUGUGAGAAAGACUCAAGCUAGGAUUGCUGACUUUGAAGAUGGAAGGGGGCUAGGAGCAAGAAAUGUGGGCAGCCUCUAGAAGCUGGAGUCAGCAAAGAACUAGUUCCCCUAGAGCCCCCAGAAAGGAACGCAGCCCUGCCAACACACCUUGAUUUCAGUCCAAUGAGUGCUGCUGGAGAUUGGGCUUUGGACUUCCAGAACUAGAAGAAAUUAAAUCUGUGUUGUUUAAGCCCCUACGUUUGUGGUGAUUGGUUAUAGCAGACACAAGAAAUGAAUAUAGUUCCCACGCUCAAGCAAGGUAAAAUCCAAAUGACCAGCCCCUGUUACCUCUGGGGCCUCACCUGCCACUUUCCACCUCAUUCACUCUUCAGCCACACAUGCCUCUUGCUCCAGCUACACAGCUUUGUAGAAUGAAUACAUGAUUUUGAAACUUCAUUUUCUGGAAGAAAGAAAGAAAUGACUUGCUCAUGAUCCCCAGCAAGGACUUGAACCUACAACUCUUGUCCAGCUACCGAAUGUGAUUCUGGAGUUGCUCGAUGGAAAAUGCUUAUUUGUGCAGGAAGCUAGGCAGAGUCAAGCAAAGAUGAAAAGCAAAUGGAGAGAUGGUUCUGCAGAUGGAAAAAAUUACCAAGACAUAUUGCUCAUAAGUGCCUACUAAAAGACUUCUUAAAAUAAAGGUACUAUUAAUUGGACACCCUACUACGGGACAAACCUUCAAACAAAAACAAAGCAUGGCUCUCUAUGGUCUUCAUGCAUGUGGCCAAUCUGACCUGUCUUCACAUCGCAUUUCGAGUGCAUAAGAGACCAACAAAUGGCUCUGGGGCUUGAUUGCAAAUUCCAGGGACAGAGAAUCCCUCAACUCUUGCCCGGAGGUGGGGGUGAGGAGGCUUAGUUUGGGGGGAGAAGAUGGGAUUCUUAGGGCAUGGGGAGAUGUCCCUCUGAGAUUUUCUAACUUGAGAGGUGCCCACCUAAGGUCUGCCAGUCCUCCUGAGAAGGCCACCUGGAAGCAGUCCUGAUCGGCUGCAUAAGAAACGUGACUGUCCUGUGGAGAGGCUCUGAGGCUAGAGAGAGGCCCAGCUGCGCCCCGACUUCAGCUGUCCCACUAAGACACCAGCUAUGCGAGAAGUCAUCUUGGACCUCCAGACCAGUCCAGUUGCCAGCUAAAUACCGCCGAGUCACCCCAGGUGAGGCUGUGUGCAACCGAAGAAUUGCCAAGCUGAGUCCCACCUAAAUUCCUGACUCAGAAAGUCACGGGGGUGAAACGGAUGUUGUUUGAAGUGCGUAAGUGUUGGGGUGGUUUGUUAGGUAGUAAUAAGUAACUGGAACGUUCACACUAGGCUUCCAGAAAUGAGCAAGGCCCAGUUUCCCUCCAUUGAGAGCUCCAGGUCUCCGGAGAGAGGUGGACACAUGAACAAACAAAUCAUAAUUCGGUGAAUCAAACAUGCAUAUGAUAGAAUGGGAGCCCAGAGGACAGACAGGUA